GACAAUUGAGGUCCCAACUGGUGGGGCAAUGGUGGGGGGAGUGCGCCUUGACCAAAGCUAUAAUGCCCAUCCACAUUAUCCCAGACGGUAGCCAUAACACGCUAGACCACACACACACACACAUCCCAGAACUAGACGUGAAGCCCCUAUCCGAGGGAGCUUCGACCCCCAUGUAUGCUAUUGGUGUGCCAAGGGGGGUGCCUAGCGAAUUCAAAGCAAGAGAUGAGG